GAGGCAUCGUCCUGCGGCAAUAGGAAUCUCAUCUUGCGACGUCGCCUCUCGUCCUCCCGAGUCUCCUGUCUCGUGCCUGAUCCGCCUCCUGGAGCUCCACCUCGCUCUGGGCUCCACCUGGCUCCCGAAGCUCCACCUCGCACUGGGCUCCCUGCCAGGUAAUAAUGUCCUCUGCUCCCUUUCUUCCCCUCCAGCACAAUACUAUCGCCGCAUAGCACCCUCAGGAUUCCUCCACCAGCUACCGUCCUGUAGCCUCUCGAAUCU
rnacentral:lncRNA from 1 species